rnacentral:lncRNA from 1 species
AGGCCCAGCCAGGAAGCAAGCUGGCAAGGCGUUCUGCAGCGAAGAAAGACCUUAAAUGCUCUGGGGGAUACGGACUGAAGAGGUGUUGAGAGGUAACUGCAUACCUCUCACUUCUCAGGAACUGCCAGUUCCCUGGGCAGAAUCAGGACCUGGGACAGACCUGCCUGCUGAUGAGAUGGCCCCACACCAUCUGCAGGCCAGAUUUGGUGCUGUGGACAAUGUCGGAGGGGACAGUCUACAGGACAGCCAACGGCUUUCAAAAAUUCUGAUAUGAUCAACUGGUGACACUACUCAGAAGACUGUGUUAAGAAUUCCGAAUUGGGGCCGGGCAAGGUGGCUCAUGCCUGUAAUCCCAGCACUUUGGGAGGCCAAAGCAGGUGGAUUGCUUGAGCCUAGGAGUUCGAGACCAGCCUGGGCAACAUGGAGAAACCCCAUCUCUAUUAAAAAUAGAAAAAUUAGCUGGGUAUGGUGGUGUGUGCCACUUAGGAGGCUGAGGUGGGAGGAUCACCUGAGCCUGGGAUUCAGAGGUUGCAGUGAGCUGAGAUCGCGCCACUGCACGCCAGCCCACAGAGUGAGACCCUUCCUCAAAAAAAAAAAAAAGAAGAAGAAGAAGAAAGAAAAGAAUUUGAAUUGGGUACUAGGCAUAGUACCUGGGUGAUGAAAUAAUCUGUACCACAAACCCCCAUGAUACAAGUUUACCUAUAUAACAAACCUGCACAUACACCGUGAACCUAAAACAAAAGUUUACCAAAAAAAAAAAAAAAAGAAAGAAAAGAAAAGAAAAAGAAAAAAAAUUUCAAGACCUAGAUCAGAAAUCAGCUCCUUGGCCAGGCAUACUGGCUCAUGCUUGAGCAAGGCAGGAGGAUUGCUUGAGCCCAGGAAUUUGAGACCAGCCUGGGCAAUACUGUGUGACUUCAUCUCAAAAAAAAAAAAAAAGGAAAAAAAAUUAUAUAUAAAAUAAAGCAUUCUGAGGCUUCAUCCACUCCUCACUCCUCAGAGAAGUACUGAAGCUAGCUAGAGAUUUCUGCAGGGUGUGGAAUGGGGAGAAAGGCAGCGUGACUGUGUGUCACAUUUGUUUCUGACACCUUUUUGUAGGUCUGAAAUGCUUUUAAAUAAACAUUUUUAAGUAAUAUAUACGUGACAAAAAUUCAAACAGCAGCAAAGUACAGUGAAAAGUCCUCCCUCAUCCCCAGUGCCCUCCCACCCCAGGUAAUCACAGUUACCAGGAUUCAAUGCACAUCCAAACACAAACAAACACAAACCAUGGUGUGUUUAUUGCCCAUGGAGGCUCUGUCUCAGGUCCCUGGGAAUCAUUGGGAGUUGUGGAUCCCAGCACUUUGGGAGGCUGAGGCAGGAGGAUCGCUUGAGCCCAGGAGUUUUUUGAGACCAGCUUGAACAACAUAGUGAGACCCCAUCUCUACAAAAAAUUAAAAAAUUAGCCAGGUGUGGCGGUCCAUGCCGGUAGUCCCAGCUACUUGGGAGGCUGAGGCAGGAUGAUCACUUGCACCUGGGACGUUGAGGCGGCAGUGAGCCGUGUUCGCGCCACUGCACUCCAGCCUGGGUGACACUGCAAGACCCUGUCUCAAAAAAAGUAGUCAAGGAGGCUGAGAGCCAGGAAGCCUCUGGCCAGCAGGUGAGCAGGCCCUUUCCUGCUGCUGUGCAUUGUAUUUAAGAGAAAAGACAGAUACGUCUGAUACCUUCAAAGGUGUUCUUCAUACAGCAGGUUGCAACCUAUUAAUAGAUCAUAAAAUCAGUUUAGUGUUUCAUCAUCAUCAUCAAAAACCACCACCAACAACAAAAAGACCCAGAACAGAUAGUGUAAAGAGUGCAUCCCUGCAUUCCUGUAUAGGGAGAAAUAUGGUUUUGUGGAACCUUGUUGCGAUGUAAAGUGUACUUCUUAAGAUAAAUACAGGGUUGAGGUUUUUGAAAUAAAGUUUGAACAGGACCACCUUAAGCCACAGUGUAGACUUUCCAUAGGCCAAAACCUGGAUCACCAAGACAGUGUGCCCCAGGCUGCAGGCCACACUCCUGGGAGCCUCAGGCAACCUUGUGCAGGCCUGACUUCGAGACACUCUGAGCAUGAGCUGGUUCCUGGGUAGCCUCCCCUCUACCUCUCCCCGCUUGCCCUCCCUCCCUCCUUCUGCUCCUGUCUCUCCUCAUCCCCUCCCCGAGUUGCUGCCUCCUCCUCCUCCUCCCCCACCACCUCUCCCCGUCUCCGAGUUGCCUGCCCCGCCCCCUCCUCUUCCCCCUGCCCCUCUCCGCGUCCUUCCCGCCUUCCCCC